GGCUCGGUGGUGGAUGGUCCGCAUCUGCAACUUUUGACACAUCAAGGAGUGUUACACAGAUGGUGGCUCGUUCAAAUCGAGCCUGAGCCA